CCGGGCGUUAUCCGGAAUUAUUGGGUUUAAAGGGAGCGCAGGCGGGAGUAUAAGUCAGCUGUUAAAUAUCAGGGCCCAACUCUGUUAUGCAGUUGAAACUAUAUUUCUUGAGUACGCACAGGGAUGGCGGAAUUCAGGGUGUAGCGGUGAAAUGCUUAGAUAUCCUGAAGAACUCCGAUCGCGAAGGCAGCCAUCCGGAGCGUAACUGACGCUGAGGCUCGAAGGUGCGGGUAUCGAACAGGAUUAGAUACCCUGGUAGUCCGCACGGUAAACGAUGAAUACUCGCAGUUCGGCCUUUUAGGUCGAGUUGUCCAGCGAAAGCGUUAAGUAUUCCACCUGGGGAGUACGCCGGCAACGGUGAAACUCAAAGGAAUUGACGGGGGCCCGCACAAGCGGAGGAACAUGUGGUUUAAUUCGAUGAUACGCGAGG
rnacentral:rRNA from 1 species